GCCCCUUAACUGCCGUGAGGUGGGCAUUUCAUCAGACAGGAGGAAGCUGAGUCAGGGCGGGCGAGUUGGUAGCUCGCGCCAAGUACAGGGCAAGAGGAGGAGCCGGGACCUGACCCAAGGCAGUCCCAAGUUCUGAGCCCGGACCUUUCCGCUCCUGAGCCCUGGCCACAUGAUGAAACGCCAGGGAGGGGGUGGACUUUGAGCCACGAGAAGGUCUUCCCCGAGUCCACGGACCGUCCACGGCGCCCAGGGAGAAGCAGGCUCACCCACAGGAACACAGCCCAGCCCACCCCGCGCUCACGGAGUAAAGAUCACAAUCUGCUGCAUAUGCAUGAGGGGACCGGGCCGCGCUUUGAGGCUGUCCACACUGCGCCUGACAAAAAUUAUUCGGGUUUGAGGACCUCGGCGCCCCCACAGUUUUGUAAAAGUCCGUACAAAGCCCUCAAAGAUGGUCUGUGAGGGAUAUGGAGGGGCGAUGGGUCGAGGUUAAGGCCCUUCUUCGGGCCGUGUUAUCAGGCGUCUGCAGUAGGCAGCCCGAUCCCAGGAUGGGUCCUCGGCCUGUUAAGUAGAAGACGAAGGGGGCGUCUCCCCAGCUUCCUGCGGCGUCGGUGGCGAGCUGAGGUGGAGGCAGGCUGCGGCAGACGGCGACAGUGGCGGCGACGCCAUGGCAGGGCUUGCAGGAUCCCUGCUGCCUUGGUGAUCCCGGGCUGACAGCCAGAGAGCACAGCGGCUCAGCUCCUGGAGAGUGAGGGUUGAAGAAAGCGGAGGGCAGCCGCCUGCGCCCGCUGGCUCCCAUUAGGUCGGUUCCUGCAGCGGUGCCCGGCAGCCUUGGUGAAGGCCCUGCCCGGCAGAGAUCAUGUAUUGCCUCCAGUGGCUGCUGCCCGUCCUCCUCAUCCCCAAGCCCCUCAACCCCGCCCUGUGGUUCAGCCACUCCAUGUUCAUGGGCUUCUACCUGCUUAGCUUCCUCCUGGAACGGAAGCCUUGCACAAUUUGUGCCUUGGUUUUCCUGGCAGCCCUGUUCCUCAUCUGCUAUAGCUGCUGGGGAAACUGUUUCCUGUACCACUGCUCCGAUUCCCCGCUUCCAGAAUCGGCGCAUGAUCCCGGUGUUGUGGGCACCUAACGGCCUGCCCUGUUAGCUUUCCAAGGAAGCAGAAGACGGGAGGGGAGGCAUUGACAUAGGUCAUAAAGCAUUGGAGUUUCAAAUCCCGCCACCUUGCGGGUGUCACAUUCCUGACGGCGCCUUUUUGGCCUGUGAUGUUUUAUCCUUAUAAUGUGAAUAAUGGCACUGACCGGUGCUUUUAUUGUAAAAUCCUAUAGCCGUGGGUGGUCUUGUGGUUGUGUGUAUUCUGUCCCCAUCUAGGUCCUGGCUGGCGGCAUGGCCACCCCCCUCACCUCAUUACUGUGAGGAGUCUGGGCCCAUCCUGGUCAACUGCCCCAGCAUGACCUGGGCAGAUAAAUGCCAGUCUCAUUGUCACCUCUGUGAACCCUCCUUGUCAGGGUCUCCUUUCUUCCCAUAAUGUUAUUGACUCCUCAGUCCCUCUCCUGGUUUCCCUUUACUUCUCUUCGACCCCUUUCUUUUUUUGGGGAGUACCUGUCCAAGACAGGGCUCAUUUUUGCACUUAUCUCGAAUUUGAAGAGAUUGCUGACGCCCGAGAGCCUCGCUUUUUCAUCCUUCUUUCCUUGUUCAGCAGGCUAGACAGAUACAUGUCUUGACUGUUUGUUGUCCACAAAUCUUCAGUAUUUUCUCUGCUUCAUUUUUAAGAAAGGAUGCAACAGAUACAUGUUGCUCUUUCGCCUGGGUGUCUGGGCUCAUGCUUUCCUGCCCAGCCUCACUUCCUUUGCCCUUCCUCCUGCCCUUCUCAGCUGUCCCAAGGAGGGGGGCCUCAUUGUGUCUUCCCGUGCAUGCUCUUCAGCAUUGAAGUAUGGUGUGUUCACGUAGUUCUAGCAGUCCCCAGCUGAGUGAAUGGGCGAGUACCUGUGUGUUUCAUAACAGCCAUGAUCCCCUUGAUGUUUGGAUAUUUUUUGGUGUGCCCUGUGUGUGCGUGUGUGUGUGUACAAAUACAUGUGUAUAUUCCUUUUAAAGAAGCUUUAUCAAACGUUUUCUGAUUUUGAGGUUUAGCAAUAGCUAGCUAUAUAUAGUAGGUGCCGCUACAGUUUUAUUUAGCAUGGGGAUUGCAGAGUGACCAGCACACUGGACUCCGAGGUGGUUCAGACAAGACAGAGAGGAGCAGUGGCCAUCAUCCUCCUGCCAGGAGCUUCUCCGUUCCUGCGCAUAUAGACUGUACAUUAUGAAGAAUACCCAGGAAGACUUUGUGACUGUCACUUGCUGCUUUUUCUGCGCUUCGGUAACAAGUGUUGGCAAACGAGACUCUCUCCUGGUCCCUACCUACUGGAGAUCAGCAUGUCUGUCCUUUCGGUCUGAUCCAUCCAUCUCUCUCUUGCCUGAGGGGAAAGGGAGAAGGGCCAGGCAGAGAACAGAACUGGAGGCAGUCCAUCUACGGAAUGGGACUGUGAGGCCAUACUUGUGAAACGUUUGGACUGCUAUUCUAGAGCUUUUAUUUGGUGUGUUCGUUGCACAGCUGUUUGAAAUGUUUAAUAAAGCUUUAUAAACUUUACUUUGUGGUUUUAUGUGGCUGCAGUCCAUUUGGGUCGUGGUAUUGGAUUUCGGAGUUGGUGGGGGGCAGGGGGAAGCAUGGAGGGGCUGAGUCCUUGGCGCCAGAGUACCUUAGCCCGAAAAUUUGAUCUGCUUUCUGGAGAGCAGAUGGUGGGGUGGGGGAGGGGGAGCAGGGGACAGGCCAGGCGGUGAACAGGAGGGAGUCUGAAAGUUUUCAGAGAUGAGACAUUUGCGUUUCUCAGCUCCCAUGGCUUCUCGCCUGAAAUUGUUUCCCUCCAUAGGAGAUUUGAGUAACCGAUCCCUUGACAAACAACUUAAGACAGCUGGAGCUCUAAUCAUCAAGGAUUUUUAUGGUGCUGCUUUUGAAGUAAAAAUAAAGUGAAACCCCUUAUGGCAUUUCAAGUGGAAAAAUAAAUAAGACUGGCUGUCCAACCAGCUGGACGUAAGGUGAAUGACCAGAAGUGCAAGAGUGGUAUGGUUCCAUGUCAUAGAUAUGCACGUGCUCCAUGGCCAUGACCUUUGAGACAGUGUAGGCUAGUUUGUCAGGCCCUGUGCUGGGUGUUCACCUCUGAAUCUCCUUCUAGAAAGCACAGUGGGAGUACUGCCUGUCCAAGGCACAGGGCUGUUGUGAGGCUUUAUUGAGCCACAAUUGUGAAGGGCUUUGGUAAUUUCAUAGACAAUCACCUGUUUUAACUAGGCUUUAAACUUACUGCUAUAAAAUUGAGUGUGAUUUUCUCCUGUUCACAUAAGUCUCUCCAUUGUCACUUUAUCUCUUUUUUCAUUCUUGGUGUUGCUUAUUGAUGCUUUCCCUUGAUCAAAACUUGCCAAAGAUUUGUCUAUUUUAGAGAUAUUUUCAAAGAACCAAACUUGUAUUGAUCAUAUCUGCUGGGUAAUUUUCUUAUCUGGUUCUUUUGUGCUUUUAUCUCUGAAUUCUUCUUUUCUGGGUUUCUGGAUAGAUUUCAUGGUUCUGCAAAGUCUUAACAAGCUGAGGAGUCAUACCUGGAAAGGAUGGUUUGUUCAACAAACGUUGAGACCCUGUACUAGGCUUGCCGGGGAUUUCAGGGGCAAGAUUCAGGCCUGACUCUCCAGGAGCUCAUGACUGUAGCCUAAUGGGGAGACUUAACAAAAUAGACAAUUGCAAAUUCCAAAAACAAAACAAACAAACAAAAAAAGGCAUUUGUGUCCCUACUCUCCUGUGGUGGCACCUGGAUGAUAAAUGAAGCCAAGAUUAUUGCUUAUUUUGCUCUUCCUCAGAAAGCAGCUUUCUGUUUUAGGUCAAGCCUGCUUAAGAGUCACAAACAGGCCUCCCUCUGAAAGAUUUGUGGCCCUUUCCAGCAGGGAGCCUGCAGCCCACCCCUCCCCAAAGUGACUGCCAAAUCAGCAUUCUGUUGCCCCACAAUGCUUCCUACCUUGCCAGGUACCCGUCCCCUCUUCCUGAACUGCCUUUUAGGAAAAUGAAAAGUAGAUAUCUUUUCUGGAGAAGAGUAGGGGCAGCAGGCCUUAGAAAAACAUGCUGUGUAAUUCCAUUGGUCAUUGUGGCUCCUCGUAUGAAAUGAUUGCCCACGUGGUGCCUAGUAACCACAAGAUGCCACGAGGCCCAAGUCUAGGCUUCUUUAGGAACUGGUCCUUGCCCUGCUCUGGGCCCCAGUUUCCAUAUAGGUAAAAUAUGGUCUUUGGAGCACGAUUUUUCUAGUCCUAAUAUCCUGGGAGUUCUUUCUCCCAAGAUCUAGGGUCUCCCUGGACCCAUUUGAGGAUGGUAGCUGGGCUCUGAGUAGGUGGCAGUGCACUUUCAGGAUAGCAUGUGCCUCAUGCUGUAGUCAGUGUACCAUGUGAGCCUAGGUAUUUCCUCUGUAAGGAAGCUUUCCUGGAUUUCCUCUCCCAGGAGAACUACUUGCCUGGAUCAUUUCACUCAGCCUUCUGUUGAGUGCUACUGCUAGUGUUCGGCAGACUUUCCCUUCUGUAGCGACUGACUUCCUAGAGGGCAUGGCUCAUGAGGACUCCUUUUGUCUCCCAAGGAGGCCUGCAGUGUCAAUUAUUUGGCAGGUAUUUGUCAGAAUUCCAUGCAGGAAUAAGCCUUGGGACUACAGGGUAGACAGUUCCUGCCAUCAGGGAGCCCUCCAGGCUAAUGGGAAAGGGCACGGCAUUGAGCAGAUAAUGCCAGCGAUACACAAGUAUGGACUGUGUCAGCUCCUAGAAGAGAGGGUCUAAGAGGGGACCUCAUGUAGGCCUGGAAGGAUUGACCUUCAGGUGGAGCCCUGAGGAGCAAGUAUAAAGGUUUGAGCAGUGAAGUAAUAAAUGAUAUAUAUAUAUUAACCAUCUAAUCAAGCAUCUCUGCUUAUAGAAUAAAGAGACUGGGAUGAAAGUAAAAGGAAGGACCACCACUAUCUGGCUGCCCUAGAAUCAGAAGCCAAAAAGGCUUUUGGGGAUAAAGAAGUCAGUCUGCCUAAAGCCAGAGAACUGUUGGGAGAUACAAAGGGAAUCUAAGGCUGAAAUGCUGAUGGCAGGCCCCAAAACUCAGUCCUGAGAACUAUUCAUUUUCAAUUGGCUGGGAGCCAUCACAAACAAGGAUCUAAUGGGAGUUGGGGAGUAACCCAGUCAGAACAGCCUUUAAGAUGGGAUUCUGUCAGGAAGGAACAGGACAGCAUUUGAGUGGUGAAAGGAGCAGGGCCACGGAGAGAGCUACUGCCUUCUCUAGAUCACUGGGAUCGGGGAGAAGUAGACCUAAGGAGUGAGUGUGGACGAGGAAGGGACGGUAGGAGAAAGGGCAGGCUGGGGAGGAGGAAGCAGUGAAAGAUGUUAGAAGGAAAGCCAAUUCCUGUCAAAUAGCUGCAGGAAAGGAGGCCAGAGAAGAGAUGUCACCUGUGUCCGUUCAGUGGGCAGAGCCAGAACCCUGUCUCCUAGCAGCCAGUGUACAGCUUACUCCCUAACCCACCAAAAUGUGUGAAAGGACCACCGUUCUGAAAAGAGGAAUGACUGAAGAAGUGCUCUCCUUGAUGGAAGAUGCUCCUGCCUGGGGGGCUUGGCCAGUGUCAGCCCAGCAACCCUCCCUCCCCAGUAUCUUCCUGAAAGUUCCUGGAAGAACAGAGUUUGAUCUGCCAGGCUUCAGGGGGAGAAUGAAGUAUGUUGAGAAAAACUUCGAUUGUAGAGCAGGCUUGAGGUAAGGAAGAGAACCUGGCUAAGCAGCAACUGAAGGCCUCAGACAGAAGCCCUGGGUCUCCCUUUGGGAUAUUGGAAAAGGCCUCAGAGCUUGGGCCCAGAUAGACUUGAAGGACUGAAGAAGCUUGGUGCAAGGAUCCAAGGAGCCCCAGGCCUUACGCCCUGCCUUUGUGACUGCACCUCACCCAUCAAAUUGAGACCUACCACCACCACAGCAUCUGCCUCAAGGCACAGUCUCCACAAAUGUUAUUUCCUCUGUUUUAUGGCCCCCUGCCACUGGCCUUUACUAAGCUGCAGCCCGUUAGGGAUAUGAUCUGAUCCUCCAGCUCUCCCACUCAUUCAUUCACAUGAGGAACAUUUGCCAGGCUCUUUUCCAAGCUCUGAGAAGCUGGUGCAGAAUAAGACCAUGCCCUCUUGAGGAACUCAGAUCAGCAGGAGGGAGGGCACUGAGUCAUUCUUGUGGGAAGAUAAUACCAUGUCAUUAAGGCUUUAGUGGAGUUAGGGAGAGAUUAUUGGGGAGACCAUAUCUCAGUAUGUCUGUGUGAGUUCAUUAAUCAUUUUUUUACUUUCUCUGAAGAGGCAGUAUCCUAAAAAGGAAAACACUAAGGUGUAGCUUUUUUUCUAGGAGACCAGAGUCCUCAGUUUGAGUCCCUACUUAGCCACCAGCUUGCCCAGCAACCCUCCAUGGAUUUCCCUCUCUUGGAGAAUAAUCCCUGUCUGUCUAGCCUCCUCCCAAAGAGGAAUCAGAACAGGCAUAUGUUUGAGAGUACUUUGUCAAAUAUCCCAAAGGGUCAGAUAUGACCCUUCUCCAAAGACUAAUCCUCUGGGUGGUUCUGGCUUCUCACUCCUUUUCCUGGACAGCUUGUGUAGAGCCUAUACUUUGACAGCUCAACACCUCUUCCAAAGCCUAACCCUCUGCCAGCCUCGUGCCCCACACUGAUAGUGGUGACCCUCCAAGGAGGGGGCAGGGAACCAUGUGGCCUUGCUCUCCUUACUCUUCUCUAGGCCUGUUUCCCCAUUUAUAAGUCAAGGAGGGGGCUGGACCAAGAAGUCUUUAACAUUUCCAAAGCUGUCUUCUGUGAAACAUCAGUGACAUUUAUCCUUGUUAUUUUAGUCUUAGAGAUAGUGAUUGAAAGGGUAUUAAGACAAGUGUUUAAUCAAAAGAUCUUUUGCAUUAAAAAAAUAAACUUUAAAUCUCUUGGGUGCAGAACUGUCAAGAAUCUCAGCUUAGAGCCAAAUAAGACAUGGAAGGGUCUAUGAGGCAGGAAAGACAGACAAAGCCCUUCAGUAAUUCCAUAUGGUUCCAGUCCCUUGGCUUGGACAUCAAGGCCCUGCACAACCUUUGAAGAUAAGGGCUUAGUCUUCAUUCCUUUACCAAGCACAAAACCUGCCUGACCAGACCUGCCAUGGUACAUGCUGGUUGGCUGACCUGGUGGCUAGAUGGAUAGGUGGCUCAGUUGCUAAGAGUCCGUAAGUAAUUGGGUGACCUAGUCUUUCCUAGAAGGAAAGGAAUUCAGUUUGCCUCCCAAAUCUCUUGGCAACUCUGAAGUAACAGAGAUUAUUUUCCAGCCUCCAGACUAGUAUUUUGGACAAAGAUAUGUGAGAACCUUGUAAAGGGUUACAUAGCCUGGCAUCCUCGCUGUGGCAGCAGCCCACAUGUGGUUUAGGAGUAGCCCCUCCAGGUGGUAGACACCCUGUAAGAUCUGGAUGUAGGUGGGCUCCUGAGUCACUGGUAAGCUGAAGGGAAUUCCCUCUGCUUCCCCCUUUCUACUCUUCUCACACCCUAACCCUGGGUAUGGCACUAUCUACCCUGGAUAUGGCACUCCCCAGCUUUCCAACUUUUAUGAGUGUCUCCCCAUAGGCUGGCAGGCAGGUAAACUGGCAGGAGUGUAGAGUGUGGACCACUGCUUCACAGGGAGUGGACUGAAGCUCUGCUGAGAGGUUUCUCCAACUUGCCCAAGAGUUCACAGUUAGGCCAGGGUGGCCUUUGAUUCCUGAACUCUGACCAUAUACUUAGGUGGUCCUCUGCAUUGCUCAUUUUCCAUUUCCAUCUUCUCCUCCCCUUCUAGAUCAUGAGUGUCUUCUUUAGAGUCACAGUCUGAGAACUCCCUGCAGCCCUGCCUCACUGCCACACACACCCAUCUGAGCACAUCACUGAGAUUUAAGUCCUUUGGUCCUAUUCCCUCAGAUCACUCUGAGGAAAAACCUGCCUCAGUCCAACCCCCAGAUCCCAGCUGCAAUACUGUGGGGGUUAGACUACUAUUCACAGAUGGGCUGGGCCAUUUGGGGGCUGCUCUUUGGUGGUUGGCUUUUGGUUUUGUUUGUUUUUACUUACUGGCCAAAUAGGAUCCAGUUCUUAUUUCCACCCUCAGAGCCAUUUUUAUGAAUGCCAUAUGGCUCCAUUUUGUACUGACAGGAACUGGGGACCACAGGCGCAUAGCACACACCACAGCUACUGUGACUAAUAGCUCUGGCAGCUGUGCCCUCCUAACAAUCUGGGCAUGCAGUAUGCGUGAUGUUCAAAACCAGAAAGAUUGGAUUGGGCCUCCUGAUCCCUGGUCAUGAUGACACCACUGCACCUCUAGUCCUGUCUCUCCAGUCCCUUGAUCUUUCCCAUAUUCAUCUCCUUCUUUUCAUUCUUUUAAUCCAUCUCUUUCUGAACAGUCAUACCAGAUGUCUCUCUGCUUCCAAUCUUGUCCCUUUCAACCCAUCAACCAAAUGGCCACCGUUGGCCAUCUUUACCAGCUUAAGUCAUCUUCUGUGGCUCUUGGCUUAACUUUGUCCUUCCCUAUUGCCUAGAGGAUGGCAUUCUCUCUGCUAAUGGAGGAGAGCAUUUCAGUCUGGUUCCCACCUUCCCCUAGGUGUUCCUGCUCUGCUUCUGCAGGUGCCCAGCCAGAUGAGCCCACCUGUCCUCCCGGAAGAGAUGGCCCAUGUCAUAUGAGAGUCCAGGAGAUUGCCCAGAGAGAAGGUGUGGAGGGAGGGGUUUUGAGAAGGAAUGCGAAAUCUCUUGUGGUAAGCAGCACCAGCAAGACGACCAAGAAGAGGCAGUUGGGCUGGUCAGUUAGGAGGUCUUGUCAUCAACAUUGGGGUCGGCAGAGCAAUGGAGACAGACAUCACAUCACCAUGGGAAGAGAAGAUAAUGAGAGGAAGAAGUGGAGAUGAGAGAACGGAUCACCUCUUCCAACUAUGAAAGGAAAGAGACGGAUAAGUUGAAGUGACCUGUUUGGAUUGUUCUUUUUUGAUUUAGCUAAUAUUUGACCUGUGCUUUUCUGGAUCAGGCCCUGAUGAGCAUUUUGUCAACAAUACCUUUCUGAAAUCUUCAGAGAACAUCCUAGAGUUGACAUGGUUUUGCCCACUAUACAGAAGAGCUUCAAAAGAUGAAGCCACUUGCCCAAGAUGGGGGGCAGAGCUGGGAUUUGUGCCCCAUUUGGUCAUCUUCCAGAGCCUCACUUUCACCACUGUCCUUGUCUUCCCUGUGGUUGUGAGGGAAGGUAGAAGAAGGAGGUGGAGGGCUGCCUGCAGUUAGGGAGCUGGGGCAAAGGCACCAGGGAGGCUCCCGGUGCUCAGAUAGGACUGGAAGUCUGGGACACACCACUUUUCAGAGAGGGAAGGGACCAGGGAAGAAAAAGGCUAUUUUUGAACGUGAAAUAGGAGAUAUGAGCCCAUUAAAAAUGAGGAGGAAAGGAAUAAAAUGUUGAACAAGUAUCUGAGUGGAGGACCUCCUCUAAGCUGAAAAGCAAUGAAAUGACAUUCAGAAGAUAAAGGCCAACAGCAAACAGGGAUAAAUGAUGGCCUGUGUCCAAAGUGGCCUGGAGUGGACGGCACUCUGUGGACAGGUGGGGGCUUAGUCUUGGAUAGCAAGCAUGCAACGACCCACCCACCCAAACCGGGGAGGCUUAGCACUCAACAGGUGACCUCAUCUGUCCUGAAGCCAUCACUGGAAGAUGCUCAAUAAAUAUUUGCUGGGGUGAAAUAAACAACUGAAAUGGGGAAUUAAAGAGGAAAAAUAACCAUUGUUAAGCUAUUGAUGAGAGAAGUGGCUGGGUGCUGUGGCUCACACUUAUAAUUCCAGCACUUUGGGAGGCCAGUACGCAUAGAUCACCUUAGGCUAGGAGUUCAAGACUAGCCUGUACAACAUGGCAAACCCCUGUCUUUACUAAAAAUACAAAAAAUUAGCUGGGCAUGGUGGUGUGCACCUGUAAUACCACUUACUUGGGUGAUAGGCAUGAGAAUCGCUUAAACCGGGGAGGCAGAGCUGCAGUGAGCCGAGAUCAUGCCGCUGCACUCCAGCCUGGGCAACAGAGUGAGACCCUGUCUCAACAAGAAAAGAAAAAGAUGAUAGAUGAAGGCCAGAAUUCAUCCUUGGCCAGUUAAGUGGGGCUGCCUAGAGUACUGAGAAUUGAUACCUACAUGGUGUUCAGGACUAGGAUAACCAACCUCUCCUAUGGGCACAGUUUACAAGGGUGUUUUUUAUUUUUAAUUUAUUUAUUUAAUUUAUUUAUUUAUUUUUGGCAGGAGGGGCCUCACAUACUCAUGGUAUUCCCCAUUUAGGGUCUUGAAGGUUUGAGGACCUGUAUAGACUUAACCUCAGUCUGUUGGGUGAGUUUGCUUCUAUCAGUUUGGAUUCUUGAUUAUCCCUAUUUUUCAGAGGUGAGAACAAACUUCAGGUCUUCCAGAAAGAAUUGGCAAAUAGGCCUGUCCUCCUCUGACUUCACUGUCUUGAACGAUAUACUUACACAAUAUGCCACUUUCCUGAACAAUAUAGAAGUUCACCGUGUAAUUAUUUUAGAACCCAGGGUCCAAAUAUUUUUAUGGUCAAGAUUUGAUGAGCGAAGUCCUCACACUGAGUUCUCCCAGCAAGGAUGCUUUCCACUCACUUGCUGGGUGGCUGUGAGUCACCUCCCCUCGCUGGGCCUUGGUUUCCCCAUCUGUAAAAUGAGGUAGUUGCAUUAGAUAAUUCCACAGUUCCCUUCCAGCUCUAGCAUCACCCUCAGAUACCCUGGUGCCUAGAGCAGUAAUUGAACAAGGAGCAUGGAGACCCCGGGUUCUGGGUCAAGUCCUCAUCUUGGAGCCUGGAGGAAUCGUGAUGAUGGCCACAGCCCCCGGAAGACAAAUUUGGCAGGAGCUGGCUGAGAUGAUUUUUCUGCUGAUGAUGAAAUGUGCUGACAGGGUCUAUACAGAAAUGGAGCGUUACCUCGUCACCUACUCAUAAAGGAGGAACUGGAAGCCAGAGGAAGAGAUGCCUUAUUGACACAGAGCACAAGCGGCAGGAGCUGGCUUCAGACCUCAGUCCAUCCGGUAUGGCAGUCCCUCUUCCCAGGACCAGGUGGAGCUGGAGAGAAAGAGGGAGUGGAGUCUGUGAGGUCCAGAUGGAGAUGCUCGGCAGGCCCUUGCCAAAGGUGGGAGCUGAGGUCUGCCUGGAACCCUACCAGGUGCUUAAGUGUCCUAUUGCACUGUGCUGAUGAAAUCAGGUCCCCACCACAGCAUAUAUACGUUGUGUGUUUACAUCUAAAACAUCUAUAGUUGUUUGAAAUGUUUAAAUCUUUAACCCAUCUGAAAUGUAAUUUCAUGUAUGGUGUGACACAGAGCUCUAAUUUGCUCUUUUUCCAAAUAGAUAGCCAGUUUGCUAAGCACCAUUUAUUGUUCCAACACCACCUUUUCUCUCAAUUCCCUAUGUCCAGGCUCCAGUUCUGUUGAUCUAUUUGUCUAUUUCUGAGCUAAUGGUACAUAUUAAUGAGCAAAGCUUUAUAAAGUGUCUUAUGGCCUAUUGAGAGAAGCACUCCACCCCUCUCACCAAGGCCUUUAUUCCUUUUUUUCUUUCUGAGACGGAGUCUCACU